AAUAUGUGUUGUUUGGGUUAUCCUCCGACCCUCCCCUACUUAGGUCUAACCUCCCCCUUAACGCCCCGUGCCCACCUCCUCCGCUCCAAAUAUCACGCCCCAAACAGCCAAAAGAAAAUCCACGAUCUCUGUCUUCCCCCGAUUACUCUCUCUCUCCCCUACGAUUACUCUCUCUCUCACCCCAGUUCCAUGACCUCCGACGCCGCCGCUCCCGCCGCCUCCGUCUUCGAGUUCGGCUAGGUCCGACAAGCUACAGCGGUGUCGCUCACCGGCCUGGCUCCCCGCAGUACUCUCCUCCGAUCCUCCGCCGCCGCGACGUCCUCUGCGCCCCUACAUCAACCCUAGGCGCCAUGGGUCGCCGGCGCGGCUCCUACAUCUCCUCACGUUUGUAGGCACACUACCCCGCAUCUCUGCACACACUGCUACCAGUUCGGGCUCGACAUUGCUGCUUCGCCUUGGCUACCUCAACUCCAACACCUGCGAUUCAGUUUCAGUAAGGCACUUCCCUCCUCUGCUCUUACCUGCUCUGGUUCUUUGUGUGUCAUGGCCAUCAUUCCACGUUUCAUUCUUUGCCGUCGAUCACGAUUUUGAUCUCCUUGACACCGCUAUACUGCCCCUACCACUACCGCUGCUUCCGCUGGAGCAGCAGGAACAACACCCCUCCAUUGGCAGGAGUCUACGGAUCUAUGGUCGUGCCGUUACUGUGAACUCCACCACCGUGUUUGUCAUACUAUUCGAUUUAGCUGCCGCUCCAAGGAUUGUAUCAUAACUUGCUGAUGGUUUCUUCGUUGCUGUGGUUCCUGGCUCAUUUGGAAUACUCACAUGACAUGGGUGACAACUGUGCUGCUACUUCCAACACCAUAUACCCCUCAAGCAGAACUUAAAUGUCCUUGCACAGGCUUACGAACUGAGUGCAUCAUUCUUUGUACUACCAAAAUUUACUACAUAUCCAUUCUGGGUUUGACUAUAAAUGUGCAAAUGGAUGUAUUGCUCAAAUUAAAAAAAAAUCCUUGUUCUAGUGUGGCUGUAUAUGUCAACGCUAUUCAGCUUUGGGGAAAGAUCAGGGGGCUACUACUUCUACAGAGAGAGGUACGACUGCAUGAUUCCCCAAGGCUUGAAAAAAUUAUGGGUGAUUUACUUGACAUAAUCUGCAAUGCUAUUAAAAAAACUUAGUUUGAAAAUUUUGUGUAUUCACUAUUCACUCUUCAAACUAUUAUAGUUGAUAUACAUCUAUAUGAAUCAGAGUGUCAAGAAAACACACUUGUUAGCAUUCAAUACGGUACCUGAUUUUUAGCUUCAUGCGAAUUAUUUUUUCUCUACUUUUAAGUAGUUCUAGAAAUUUUGGAAUCUCUGCAUUUAGAUUUAUUUUUCUGGAGAACUACAGCACCACGGAUGCAAAGAAAGAUGUGCUACUUGUCAAUGCAAAUAUUUUUUGGUUAGGUACCUCGAUGUAUAUUACUUUAUUUUUUCUUUUUAAGGUGUUUAACUCAAUUAACAUAUGGAUAGUUUGUUCAUAAUAAAACAAAGAUCAAAGGUGGUUGUUGUAUGUAAGCUAGUGCUCUGUUUUCUCCAGAGUUGAGUGAUACCGCUGGGCUGUAAAAGGUGUUUCGAACAAAUUAUGACAUAUCAAAGCCUUCAGACAUGACCACAUAUUUUAGAUUAUGAAACUAUUAUUAUCCUCCAGUGCUUGCUUCAAUUUUGGUGUUGCUUGCUUCAACUUGGGUGUCCAGAGAAGUGAAACCUCAAGUAAUGUGUCCACGGAAGCACUGUAUUGUAUAUGAAGUGAAACUUUCUCUACUGUAUGGGGAUGCAAGUGCAAGGAUCAAAUAAAUGUUCUUUUACAGAUAAGUUAUGAUCAGUUUAUAUUGUUUGGAAUCCAACAUGACUGAGCAACGUUUAUUAUUGCUUUUACUUUUUGCAAUAUGAAUAUUUGUUAUGGUUUUUUUUCCAAGGUUGGGAAAUUCAAACAAUGCAAUGAUGUUGCUCAUGCUACACUCCAAAGUACUGACCCAUAGUAUAAUAUUAGACUUGACAGUGUUAAUACUGAGUAUGAAUUCAUGGUAGUACGAGCUGAUACGACCACUCAAAAAGGUCUUUUUUUGCUCAUGUAGCAAGAUUAAUUAUUGGAUGCCCUAACCUUGUAUGUUGCCCUUUAAAUUUUACUACCAUAUUAACCUGUUGUCUCAUGGUAUUAGUGAUCUCAUUUCUUUGUUGUUGUAGAUUGGCAAGAUAAAUUGAUGACGCGUGACUCAGUUGUUGAUUGCAGGAUCCAGAAUGGGACUGCUACCAGAUAGUUUCAUAAUAUAUUUUAGAUUGUCAUUUUCAGGGUCAAUGUUUCAAACAUAAAGUUUUUGAAUGGCUGUGAUGUUGAUUGUAAGGUCGAGAAUAGUCUAUUACAUAUAGUUUCACAUCUUGUAAUCUUUGUAUCGCGUUCUCUGUAAUGCAACUGAAUCUAUUAACUAAACGAGUUAAUAUAUGCGACAUUUCUAGUUCUUA